UUAACUUUAUAAUCAGAUUUUUCAGAUGUACUUAAAUAUAAGCAGAAAAAUUUUAUAAACAAGUAAAAUUAAGCAAAUUCUAAUCACCAGAAGCAGAACUAAUUAAAACAUGUUUUAAUCGAAAAUACUUCCUAGGUUUCUCCUGCCAAUCUUAAUUAUUCAUUUGAAGAAAUAAAGAGGGACAUGAAAAAAAGUUAUUUCCUGAGAUUGCCUUCUAUUUUAUGAGCCCUUCAUUUACACUGAAAUCAUCUGAAUAGACAUGGUGCUCUUUUGUGUGUCUGGCUGGAGGACAGAAACUUCUACAGCUUUUUAAUUCAGCAGUUGUAUCCAUAAUUUGCUGUCAAACUCUAAAGUCAGGGAGCCCAGAUGAGAACGUAGAAACUGAUUGAAAGUAGAUUUCUCCCUUAAAAUCUAGAAGGAUGCUUAGUGAGCCUGAGAGUACUGUCAGACCACCUUCUGCUGAUUUCUCUUUGGCAAAAUAAAGAUUAGCCACCAAUCUACCAAAUGCCACCUCAUUUUAAUGCCUGGUAUAUCCACAUUCUCCAUCAAUGAUCCCAGACAUAAGUGUGUGGGAGACACAACUAUGUGAGUAAUUAGGAGAUUAAAAUGUUUGGGGGAGGCAACAUAAAUCCAGGAAGAGGUGAAUUAGCAAUAUGGGAGCAUGGAAUUCUAUGUCAAGGUGGGUGACAUGGGUGGGUGCUGUCACUUCAUUCAAUUGGUACAUAAGGCAGUUGGGAGAGGCAGAUUAGAAAAUAUAAUAGUUGAGCUGAAUCCUAAGAGAAGAGCAACUGUCCCUUCCAUGUUCAGGACUUUACAGUCAGCACAUCUUCCCCAUGCUUUCUCAUUGCUCAUUCAUCCCCAGUGGAAAAGCAGGGGAGGCAAAGUCUGUAUGCUGAAGCAGAAAGACUGUUUGUUGGACUUAGAAAGUUACAGAAAUAGGUAGGCCUAGGAUAAUAUUAUUGGCAAUAAUGCUGCUUUUAGUGCUUUACCUACAGAGCUUUUUAGCUCACUGUGGAUAGAAAUAGGGUUGAUGGAGAGUGGUUAUGAACAUAGACUUGGGAGCCGGGCUGAUUGGGAAUUCAAGUCCCAGCUCCACCUUUUCUGAGCAGUGUGAUCCUGGAUGCCUCAGCUCCUACUAUUUCAGCUUUCUCAUCAGGGAAAAAACAGAUAAUAAUAGUACUUACAUCAUAGAAUUCAGAAGGUUUAACAGAUUAACUCAGGUUAAGUUAGGUAGGUGAAACAAGGGAGAAGCAACUGUUCAGACAUGGAAUUAAAGGGAAUUGAGAAGAGGAGGAUUUAAAAUUUGAGGCUGUAUAACAAUCAUUUAGGUUGCCUCUUAAAAAUUUAGAUUCCCAGGCCUCAGCCCCAGGCAUUGAGACUCAGUAGUUCUGGGGCCCAAGAGGCCAUUUUAUAAAAGUAAAUUUACAAAAAGUCGCCAAAAUAACUCAGAGUUUCUGAAUACCAUUGCCAGUUUUCCCCUAAUGCGAACAUCCGAACAUCUUAUUAACAUGGCACAUUUGUUAAAACUAAAGUCAGUGUUGACACAUUACUCUUAACUCCAGACGUCAUCAGAUUUCCCACUCAAGUUCUUUAUCUGUUCCAGGAUCAAAUCCAGGAUACCACACUGGACUUAGAAAAUCUUCAUUUUUCAUAAGCUCUUUCAGUGGAAGAGAGGCAGGGGAGCUGAGGACCACAUUUUGAGAAAACACUCAGACAUUCAGAGAACCAAACCAAAAUUGCUACCUCCCCAAGUUGGGGAGGUAAGUGCAAUUUUAAGGAAGAUAAUUGAUGGAGCAGGUGUAAAUAAAAGGUUAAUUUUAGAGUUAGAAGUGGAAUGCUUUCCAUUAGAUGGGAGGGGGUUACCUUCAGAACAAGGAAUUUCAUGCCAGAGGAAAUAGUUGGUUUUGGAAGGUGGGGGUGCAACCUCAACCUCAGUCUAGAUUGAGAAUACAUGACGAGGGUUGUGAGUAGGUCAGGAGAAUAGGUAAGUGCAGCAAGUUGGGAAGAGCUGCUUUGGAGAACACAGGAUUCACAUAAGUGAUGAAAGGGAGUUACAAGGGGUCAGUUAGUCUGUAAGCCACAUACAGCCUGCAUGCUCUGGAAUCCGGUGCUAAUAAUGCUUUGGCAGUGGGUCAUAAUGACCAACAUCAAACAUUGCAGAAAAAGCAAGGAUAACGCUGGAAGAAUUUUGUUUAAAGAGGGUCCUAAGGGUCUUGGGUGAAGCAGCUGGUGAAAGAGAAGGUGGAAAAACACUUGAAGCUCUACCUGUGGAAGAGUCAGUUAUCACACCAAGGAGACACAGGAGCCACCAGCUUGGGCUGACAGGCACAAUAACCAUUUAUUCAAAGAUGCCAUCUAAUGCACUAUGCCACUAAGUACUGUGGCUGGACAGUGAUUUUAAGUGUAACAAAUUAUCUUCACUUUGAAAAGAGCUUAAGAGAGAGAAAACAAAUAUUACAUCUUAAACAGAGGCAUGAAUCAAACCAACUUAUGAACGGUGAAAGCAACUUAUCAAAAUGUCUUCGGACAUAUCAAGACUGACUUAAACCAUGUUCUGUGCCCUUUCUUUGUUGAGAAGAUAAACUGGAAAAUGCAAGCUAUUGUCCUUUGCCAAGGAUCGAAGAUCAAAA
rnacentral:lncRNA from 1 species